rnacentral:misc_RNA from 1 species
AGUGACUUUAAGACAAAAAAAGCCACCAAACCAAGAGAAAAAUAUGGCCGCCUUUUUGUCGGGAUCUUUCUACGCCUUAAUUACUGAUAAAAAAUCAAAGGGCACUGGUUUGCCUGACAAAAUGUUCUGGUUUGUUAUUCCAGUACUGUUUUUACAUUGUUUCAUGGCUAUGGCUGUGACCAACUUGAGCACAGAUGAAUCUGCUCUUCUUGCUCUAAAAGCUCAUAUAACUGUCGACCCUCAUAAUGUCACGACGUACAAUUGGUCCAGCACUAGCUCCGUCUGCAACUGGGUUGGCAUCUCAUGUGGCGCUCGCCAUAGAAGAGUAACAGCUUUGAAUCUUACAAACAUGGGUCUUCAAGGCAUCAUUCCACUGCACCUUGGAAACCUCUCCUUCUUGGGUUACCUUACCGCAAGUGGCAACAAAUUUCAGGGUCGUCUGCCAGAAGAGCUAUCCCGGUUGCGGCGAUUGAAAGUUAUCAAUUUCAACGAAAAUAACUUAGGCGGGGAUCUUCCAUCUUGGUUCGCAAACUUAACUUCACUUCAAACCUUGAAUCUCGCUAAUAACACUUUUGUUGGAACCAUUCCAGUUGAAAUUGGUAAUCUUACCCGCCUAAGGAUACUCAACUUGCAGCAGAACCAACUUUCAGGGACAAUACCUAGGAGUAUCUUCAACAUGUCUUCAUUGGAAAAUCUUGCGUUGACACUCAAUAAUCUCUCGGGUAGUCUCCCUCUACCAGAUGAUAUUGAAAUAUGCCAUCAACUUUCAAAACUGAAAGGGCUAUAUUUGUCUUCUAAUCAGUUGAAUGGCCAAAUUCCAUCAAGUUUUGGGGAGUGCAGCAACCUUCAGGUCUUAUCCUUGUCAGUUAAUCGUUUCACAGGAAGCAUUCCAACAGUUAUUGGAAAUUUAACAGGCCUAAAGCAACUAUUUCUCGGAUCAAAUUACCUAACAGGUGCAAUACCAAAUGAGUUGAGUCACCUAAGUAAUCUGGAGGCUUUGAGCACACCACGUAACAACUUAAGCGGCUUCAUUCCCUCUUCAGUCUUCAAUCUCUCGAAGCUGACACUCCUUGACGUUUCGGGUAAUCAACUUUCUGGCCAUCUUCCAUCAAGCAUAUCGCUUCCCAAUCUUGAGUAUUUCGAUGUAUCGGUUAAUAACUUCAGUGGCAGAAUCCCCCGCUCUAUCUCCAAUUCUUCUAACCUCAUCAUACUAUAUACAUACAAUAAUUCUUUCUCUGGCCUUAUUCCCAACACACUUGGUAAUCUACGAAUGCUACAGAGGCUUGACAUUACUUUCAAUAAUUUAACAGCUGAUUUGAGCUUUUUUUCCUCACUGACAAGUUGCUCGUAUUUGGAUACCUUAUCACUUUCCUUCAAUCCCUUGAACGUUUUCCUUCCAAUUUCUAUUGGGAAUAUGUCCUCUCUCCAAUAUUUUAUUGCAGGAUUAUGCAAUAUCAAGGGUAUCAUUCCAGUUCAAAUUGGUAACUUGAGCACAAUGGUGCAAAUGGAACUUUCUUUAAAUGAAUUGAUUGGGUCCAUACCAUCAACAUUAGGAGGAUUGAAGCAGCUUCAGGGUCUGUCUCUCUCUGGAAAUCAGUUACAAGGAGCCAUCCCCAAUGACAUCUGUCACUUGGAAAGUUUGAAUUACUUGUACUUAGAGAGCAAUAGGCUUUCUGGACAGAUACCCACAUGCAUGCCGAAUUUAACUUCUCUGAGAAAACUCUACUUACAAAAAAACAGCUUGAGUUCGGCCAUACCCUCAUCUAUCUGGAGUCUUACAUUUCUGUUGGAAGUAAGAUUGAGUUCAAAUUCUUUAAAUGGUUCUCUACCAUCAGAUAUUGGAAAUUUAAAGGCCCUGGUAUACAUGGACUUAUCAAGAAAUCAAAUAUCAGGCGCUAUUCCAAGUAGCAUUGGAGGUCUCAAAGAUUUACAGUAUCUUUCCUUAGCGGAAAAUAGUUUUCAAGGCUCUAUUCCAGUGUCAUUUGGGGGCUUGGUAAGCUUGAUAUCCUUGAAUCUAUCGGCAAACAAUCUCUCUGGAGUGAUUCCCAAGUCCUUGGAGGCACUUUCGAACAUCAAAUCAUUCAAUGUGUCUUCAAAUAGAUUGCAGGGAGAAAUCCCACGUGGAGGACCCUUUGUAAACUUCUCUGCUGAGUCGUUUAAGUUUAAUGAUGCCCUGUGUGGGUUGCCAAGGUUACAAGUCCCGCCUUGUAAAACUAUAACUCCUCGAAGAUCCAAGGCAGGUAGUGUCCGCUUACUGAAAUAUAUUUUACCAGUGCUUGCAUUUCUCAGUCUGGUAAUUGCAUUCACUAUCAUAUUCAUCAAAAGCAGAAAGAAGAGGAACUUGAAACGAGAGACCCAAGUAACAGGAGAUUUGUUACCCCUGGCAACAUGGAGGAGAAUUUCCUUUCUGGAACUUCAACAAGCAACAGAUGGAUUUAGUGAUUACAACUUGCUUGGCACAGGGAGUUUUGGCUCUGUAUUUAGAGGUUCCCUGUCAGAUGGGACAGAUAUUGCUGUUAAGGUUUUCAAUUUGCAGGUGGAAGGAGUAUUAAAGAGUUUUGAUUCUGAAUGUGAAGUUAUGCGCAAAAUUCGCCAUCGAAAUCUCGUAAAAAUCAUAACCAGUUGCUGCAACAUUGAUUUUAAAGCCUUGAUACUCGAGUUCAUGCCCAAUGGGAGCCUCGACAAGUGGUUGUAUUCUCACAACUAUUUCUUGGAUUUCCCACAGAGGUUAAACAUUAUGAUUGAUGUUGCAUCAGCCCUUGAAUAUCUCCAUUCUUACUCCGCACCUAUAAUCCACUGUGAUUUAAAGCCCAGUAACAUUCUACUAGAUGGAGAUAUGGUGGCACAUGUGGGCGAUUUUGGCAUUGCCAAACUCUUGGGUGGAGGUGAUUGCAUUUGCAUGACACAAACCCUGACAUUAGCCACAAUUGGGUAUAUGGCACCAGAAUAUGGACAGGCUGGAAUAGUUUCUACAAGAGGUGAUGUGUAUAGCUAUGGCAUUCUAAUGAUGGAAACCUUUACCAGGAAAAAGCCUACUGAUGAAAUGUUUUCAGGAGAGAUGAACAUUAUGCAGUGGGUGAAACGUUCAUUGCCUGAUGCAAUAACUGAAGUUGUGGAUUCAAAUCUAUUAAGGGUAGAGAGGCCCUCCAUUGCUGAAACAGAUAGUGUAAUGUCGACUUUGAAAUUGGCAUUGCAUUGUUGUGCAGAUUUACCAGAAGACAGGCUGCACAUGAAAGAUGUCCUUUCCUCUCUGGAAAAGAUUAGAACACAGUAUUUGAAGGACCUUCGGGAUAAGAAAUUCUGAAUGCUCGAAGAACCACAUCAAAUUCUCAAAAAUAAAAGAGCCUGGAGGGAACCAUUCACAAAUAUUCCGCCAACCAGGAAGGUCUAAAUUCCAUUUCUUCUCAAAAUGUUAUUAAUACUUGCUACUUUGAUUUGGAAGUCAUGGGCUCCAGAAUAUCAUUAUUUAAAUCUGAAAGAUUUAAAUAUCUUACCUUACAAAUAAAAUCUACUUGAGAUUAACCCCA